rnacentral:misc_RNA from 1 species
GUGAAUCAUCGAAUUUUUGAACGCAAAUUGCACUCUCCGGUUUUCCGGGGGAGUAUGCUUGUUGGAGGGUCGGUUUAAAAAAUAAUCGAGGCUGCUGCGGUGGUAGCUCUUCGGAAUUGGGGCAUCUUUCACCUUUCGGUUGUAAGCGACCUAAAAUUUUUUUUACGAUUUCUACGAACGUGUCUAAGAAUUCUUUGUACGUUCACUACAUCUAAAUCAU